UUUAACGAGAGUUUGAUCCUGGCUCAGGACGAACGCUGGCGGCGUGCCUAAUACAUGCAAGUCGAACGAACGGAUAAGGAGCUUGCUCCUUUGAAGUUAGUGGCGGACGGGUGAGUAACACGUGGGUAACCUGCCUCACAGCUGGGGAUAACAUCGAGAAAUCGAUGCUAAUACCGAAUGUGCUGAAUAUCAUAAGAUGUUCAAGUGAAAGACGGUUUCGGCUGUCACUGUGAGAUGGACCCGCGCUGGAUUAGCUAGUUGGUAAGGUAAUGGCUUACCAAGGCAACGAUCCAUAGCCGACCUGAGAGGGUGAUCGGCCACAUUGGGACUGAGACACGGCCCAAACUCCUACGGGAGGCAGCAGUAGGGAAUCUUCGGCAAUGGACGAAAGUCUGACCGAGCAACGCCGCGUGAGCGAAGAAGGCCUUCGGGUCGUAAAGCUCUG
rnacentral:ncRNA from 1 species